CGGCCCAGACUCCUACGGGAGGCAGCAGUGGGGAAUAUUGCGCAAUGGGCGAAAGCCUGACGCAGCGACGCCGCGUGAGGGAUGAAGGUUUUCGGAUCGUAAACCUCUGUCAGAAGGGAAGAAACUGCCGUGCUCUAAUCAUCAUGGCAUUGACGGUACCUUCAAAGGAAGCACCGGCUAACUCCGUGCCAGCAGCCGCGGUAA
rnacentral:rRNA from 1 species